UCACUGCAUGGAAGCAAGCUACAUGCAGAAGAAAAUAUUCUGGAUAACAGUGCUUUGAUUAUGUCUUCUAAAAAUGUGUAUGGCAGUAAGGUGUUAUACAGAGAUAAAUGCUGCCUUGACUUCGUAGAUUUACUAAUGGCACUAAAGAUGUUCUGAAUAAUAUUCUCUGUUGCUAAAGUAGCAUAGGAAGCUGACAAAUCCCCAGAAAACAGUUGACGAAAAAGAUAAACAUAAAUAGCUGCCACAAUUAAAUUGGUAAUAUCUUCUGCAAAAAUAUUACUGUCUUUUUGGUAAUAUCUUCUGCAAAAAUGUCACUGUAUUUUUGGUAACAUCUUAUGCAAAAAUAUCGCUGUCUUUGAGUUCUUUAUUAUCAACCUCAAGGGCCAGCCCAUGCUGUUUCAGAACAUUCUUAUAAGCUGAAUUGAUAGGUUCAUCCACAGUGUCUGUGUCUACAAUGGGAGAGGAUUGCUCUUGGUAAUCACAAAAGAUGCAAAUUUUAGCUUUGUUGAAAUUGUUAUUUAUUGAAUUUACUAUUUUUGGAUCAUUUUAUCCAGUUCAUGCUCAGUGUUAUAGCUCAGGUUGAAGACCUUUGAUAAAAGCCUUACAACAAUUUUUCCUACAAAUGUGUGAGGGUAAAAACCUAUAGCCAGUGGUGAUGGGGUCUUCUGGGGUCUGCGUGACUCUGUGACUUCACUGAGAGCCUCUUUAACCAAAUUGGAUAUUUCAUCCAAUGGAGCCUUUGGACAGGGUAAGCCCUCUCCACACAAAAAGGAUUGAAUGAUUUUCAAUAAUCUUGACUAGUAAGACUGGCUGUCUGGUCAACCAUAAUUUGGCUUUGGCCUACUGUAACUUUUCUGUAUUGACACAAGAGAGCCAAACAUCUGCAAAAUAUUAUCAUAAACAGAUUCCACUAUAUUUUGGAAGUUUUUUUCUAUACAUAGAUACUGACGAUCAUAUUUAGUAAGCCAAACCUUAUGCUUUGAAAAUGGCUAACAUAACUUUAUUUAUUAUACAGGUGGAUUUAUCAUUAAAAUCUGAAGUCAUUAAAUAGUUCCUUCCCAAGCAUGAAGUCUUGCUGGAUAGAGAAAUGAGUGGAGAUAAUAGCCUCCUGAUGACAUCUUCCAAAAUGAGUGUGAUAACAUGGAAAAAUUUUCUCCAGCUGCAAAGAGACAUCCUCUAAAGAAAAACGUGCUUCCGGAUUUGCAAGAGAGAUUGUACUUAAAUUCUGCUGUGAAAGUUUGAGGUUAUCUGGAUGUGAGCCAUUUAUUGGGGAUUGAACAGAUGUUUGAGCAUCUGGCUCACUUCCAGCAUGCGGAAUGUCAUAUAAAUGGGACUGGAGGAAAGGAAGUACAUUUAACUGAUCAAUUAAAUCAUUCUUACAAAUUCCAAUCAAAAUAUUUCUUAUAAUGGACACAAAUGGGGACUUUUUUUUGGCUCUUUGAGUUCUACUUUAAUUUUUUUCAAUGUUCUUUUCAAUUCCUCUUGCUCAAGAGACUCUGAUUUAGUUUCUUCUUUUGGAGGUCUUUUCUCUCUAGCACUUUCUUCCUCUGUAUCUGCAGAAUCUUCUAGAUAUGACUCUGGUCCAGUUCCCCCAGGAAGAAAAAUUUCUAUAGGUUGGCCUAUAUCUGUAAUUUUCAAUGUCUCUGUUUUCUGCUUCAGUUUCAUUAAACGUAUGUGGAGGCAUUCCAUCCCAAAUUAAAUUGACUAGCUUCUUAAGCAUUUGUUUCUCUUGUAGUGGGUUGUGUACACAUUUCCAAAUCUGGCAAGCUCACAUUUAAUUCAGUUUGAAUAGCCUUCAAAAUUGCACUUGAUACCUUCUUUGUAUGCAUGUGUAAAGUGGACUGCAAUAGUUCUUGAUGUGUGUUAGCUCAAAUGUUGGAACUUUCACUUUCCCCAUCUGUCUCAUUGCUCUUUUUAUUUCCAUUGAUUAUAGUACCCACAGUUAUAAAAUUUCUAUUGGCGAACCCUUACAAUUUAGCAAAAACCGUUUCAAUGAUAUAUGAACACAACUUUUCAUUUAUUUGGAUACUUUUAUUUUGUGCUCCCUCUUUCCCUGUUUCAGGGGCAGUAGUUUUCCCCUUAUUGGUAGUUGUCUUUUGACUGUCUUGUUGGAUCCCCCUGGACACCAUGCUGGAGAUUAUGUCAGAGCAUCAGCUCAUUUCCUCAAAAAGUGAAGCAAAUGGUAAGCUGUCAGGGUCAAUAUACUCUGAGAUAGCUUUAAAUUCUGAACUUGUGAAAUUGCUAUCUGCCUCAGCACUACACAAUCAUGUAAUGAUAUAUUCUAGAAUUGUAUGAGAAAUGAGCUGAAUAUCAGGCUGCAAUGCAGUGGUUGUUCUUAAAUUCUCAUCGAUCCACUGUCUGUUUGGUUCACUAUCAGAUGGGGAGAAUGUGAAUGAUCUUCUAUGAGCUCCGAUUACAUGUCAUAUAAAGUAUCUCCAGUUCUGUCUAACACUUGUAAUUUGGCACAUUUGUGAACUUCCUUUUGCCUAGGAAGGCACUGAAAAGGAGAAAAUGUUUGUGGAUUAAUGUCGACAAUUCCAUAUGAAAAUAUAGACCUCAGCUUCUGUGAAGGGACUGGAACAUUGUUUUUACCUGUCUUUCCACUUAACACCUCACAAAUACAAUUUACUAAUGAACUUCCAAUAAUGUCAUUGUUUAGCUUUGUGGCAACAGCCCAAUUCCUUUCUGGUUUUAGCAAAAACUACUGUAUCUAUAUACUUCUUGGGAGGACCUUUCUCCCUAAGAUUUAGAUUCUUCUCAUUGUAUUUCAGUUCCUUCUUGAUAGCAUCCAGAACAAUUUUUCCCACUUUAGUUGUGUAUACACUAAGUUGAGAUUGAAACAAAGAUUUCUUGCCAGGUGCAGGCUUCAAACUAGCAGCAUGGCUUUCUGGUUUGAAGCAUUUUUGCGAUUUUGAACAAAUACAUGACUUUGGCAUCUUAAAAAUUUUAUGAGUUUUUUUUUUUUCUUGUAAAUUUGUUUAAGACCC